rnacentral:rRNA from 1 species
GAUGAACGCUGGCGGCGUGCCUAAUACAUGCAAGUCGAGCGAACAGACGAGGAGCUUGCUCCUCUGACGUUAGCGGCGGACGGGUGAGUAACACGUGGAUAACCUACCUAUAAGACUGGGAUAACUUCGGGAAACCGGAGCUAAUACCGGAUAAUAUAUUGAACCGCAUGGUUCAAUAGUGAAAGACGGUUUUGCUGUCACUUAUAGAUGGAUCCGCGCCGCAUUAGCUAGUUGGUAAGGUAACGGCUUACCAAGGCAACGAUGCGUAGCCGACCUGGGAGGGUGAUCGGCCACACUGGAACUGAGAACCGGUCCAGACUCCUACGGGAGGCAGAAGUAGGGAAUCUUCCGCAAUGGGCGAAAGCCUGACGGAGCAAGGCCGCGUGGGUGAUGAAGGUCUACGGAUCGUAAAACUCUGUUAUUAGGGAAGAACAAAUGUGUAAGUAACUAUGCACGUCUUGACGGUACCUAAUCAGAAAGCCACGGCUAACUACGUG